GGGGAAUUUUGGACAAUGGGCGCAAGCCUGAUCCAGCCAUUCCGCGUGCAGGAUGAAGGCCCUCGGGUUGUAAACUGCUUUUGUACGGAACGAAACGGCGCUUUCUAAUCCAGAGCGCUAAUGGCGGUACCGUAAGAAUAAGCACCGGCUAACUACGUGCCAGCAGCCGCGGUAAUACGUAGGGAGCAAGCGUUGUUCGGAUUUACUGGGCGUAAAGGGCGCGUAGGCGGCGCGGUAAGUCACUUGUGAAAUCUCUGAGCUUAACUCAGAACGGCCAAGUGAUACUGCAGUGCUAGAGUGCAGAAAGGGCAAUCAGAAUUCUUGGUGUAGCGGUGAAAUGCGUAGAUAUCAAGAGGAAUACCUGAGGCGAAGGCGGGUUGCUAGGCUGACACUGACGCUGAGGCGCGAAAGCUAGGGGAGCAAA
rnacentral:rRNA from 1 species